CAAUGGGGGAACCCUGNAUGCAGCGACGCCGCGUGGAGGAAGAAGGUCUUCNCGAUUGUAAACUCCUGUUGUUGGGGAAGAUAAUGACGGUACCCAACAAGGAAGUGACGGCUAACUACGUGCCAGCAGCCGCGGUAAAACGUAGGUCACAAGCGUUGUCCGGAAUUACUGGGUGUAAAGGGAGCGCAGGCGGGAAGACAAGUUGGAAGUGAAAACCAUGGGCUCAACCCAUGAAUUGCUUUCAAAACUGUUUUUCUUGAGUAGUGCAGAGGUAGAUGGAAUUCCCGGUGUAGCGGUGGAAUGCGUAGAUAUCGGGAGGAACACCAGUGGCGAAGGCGGCCUACUGGGCACCAACUGACGCUGAGGCUCGAAAGUGUGGGUAGCAAACAGGAUUAGAUACCCUGGUAGUCCAAGGGCGAAUUC
rnacentral:rRNA from 1 species